UGUCUGAAUAUGGGGGGCCCAUCCUCCAAGGCUAAAUACUCCUGACUGACCGAUAGUGAACCAGUACCGUGAGGGAAAGGCGAAAAGAACCCCGGCGAGGGGAGUGAAAAAGAACCUGAAACCGUGUACGUACAAGCAGUGGGAGCACGCUUAGGCGUGUGACUGCGUACCUUUUGUAUAAUGGGUCAGCGACUUAUAUUCUGUAGCAAGGUUAACCGAAUAGGGGAGCCGAAGGGAAACCGAGUCUUAACUGGGCGUUAAGUUGCAGGGUAUAGACCCGAAACCCGGUGAUCUAGCCAUGGGCAGGUUGAAGGUUGGGUAACACUAACUGGAGGACCGAACCGACUAAUGUUGAAAAAUUAGCGGAUGACUUGUGGCUGGGGGUGAAAGGCCAAUCAAACCGGGAGAUAGCUGGUUCUCCCCGAAAGCUAUUUAGGUAGCGCCUCGUGAAUUCAUCUCCGGGGGUAGAGCACUGUUUCGGCA
rnacentral:rRNA from 1 species